ensembl:snoRNA
AAGCCAGCCAAUUAAUCUUAUCUCUGAAUAUGUUUCUGCAGAAAUUUAGAAAAAGCUGCCAAUAGUGAUGCCAUGUUAUAGCACUUAUGGACAGCUGAGGUCACUAAGGUCCCUGAAAAAGGCUGCAUUA